rnacentral:rRNA from 1 species
AUUGAACGCUGGCGGCAGGCUUAACACAUGCAAGUCGAGCGGAGAUGAGGUGCUUGCACCUUAUCUUAGCGGCGGACGGGUGAGUAAUGCUUAGGAAUCUGCCUAUUAGUGGGGGACAACAUUCCGAAAGGAAUGCUAAUACCGCAUACGUCCUACGGGAGAAAGCAGGGGAUCUUCGGACCUUGCGCUAAUAGAUGAGCCUAAGUCGGAUUAGCUAGUUGGUGGGGUAAAGGCCUACCAAGGCGACGACCUGUAGCGGGUCUGAGAGGAUGAGCCGCCACACUGGGACUGAGACACGGCCCAGACUCCUACGGGAGGCAGCAGUGGGGAAUAUUGGACAAUGGGGGAAACCCUGAUCCAGCCAUGCCGCGUGUGUGAAGAAGGCCUUAUGGUUGUAAAGCACUUUAAGCGAGGAGGAGGCUACUGAGACUAAUACUCUUGGAUAGUGGACGUUACUCGCAGAAUAAGCACCGGCUAACUCUGUGCCAGCAGCCGCCGUAA